AUUGAACGCUGGCGGCAGGCCUAACACAUGCAAGUCGAGCGGAGCGGCGGACGGGCGGGUAAUGCCUAGGUAUCUGCCUGGUAGUGGGGGAUGACGUCCGGAAACGGGCGCUAAUACCGAAUACUUUCAGAUGAGCCUAGGUCGGAUUAGCUAGUUGGUGGGGUAAAGGCCUACCAAGGCGACGAUCCGUAGCUGGUCUGAGAGGAUGACCAGCCACACUGGAACUGAGACACGGUCCAGACUCCUACGGUAGGCAGCAGUGGGGAAUAUUGGACAAUGGGCGAAAGCCUGAUCCAGCCAUGCCGCGUGUGUGAAGAAGGUCUUCGGAUUGUAAAGCACUUUAAGUUGGGAGGCGUUACCAACAGAAUAAGCACCGGCUAACUCCGUGCCAGCAGCCGCGGUAAUAC
rnacentral:rRNA from 1 species